UACGUAGGUGACCAGCGUUGUCCGGAUUUACUGGGCGUAAAGGGCUCGUAGGCGGCCAACUAAGUCGGAUGUGAAAUCCCCAGGCUCAACCUGGGAACUGCAUCCGAUACUGGAUGGCUUGAAUUCGGGAGAGGGAUGCAGAAUUCCAGGUGUAGCGGUGAAAUGCGUAGAUAUCUGGAGGAAUACCGGUGGCGAAGGCGGCAUCCUGGACCGACAUUGACGCUGAGGAGCGAAAGCCAGGGGAGCGAACGGG
rnacentral:rRNA from 1 species